UGUAAUUUCUUAGCAGCCUGCAUCUCC
rnacentral:piRNA from 1 species